ensembl:piRNA 21ur-1523 ncRNA
UGUGAAGAUUUCUCAUAGAAA